rnacentral:lncRNA from 1 species
GUUUUCCCUUACAAGAUUAUUUUUAGGAUUCUUUUAAUGUUGAGAAUAGCUGAAUUAAGGAAACAGGUGGCUUAGGAGCUGCUCCCAAAGCAUAGUGAUAUUGCUAUACUGGCCAUGAGAACAAAGUCUUAGAGCUGAGUCAAACUUCUAGUCUCUAGCAAGGUCUCAGGCCAAGUGGGGCAGGUGAAGUGCUGCACAAUGGAGGGAAAAGCAGACGGACGGCGGCAAGAGGGAAGGACUUGUCAAUGCUCCCUAAAACGGCAGAUGGUGCUGAAGGCCAGGGCAGCGCACACGAACUGGGGACGCGCUCCAGCUCUGACCAGGAUAUGGCUUUCCUGGUUCUUGCCAUUUGGAACUGUUCUUCUGGUGUCU